rnacentral:rRNA from 1 species
GAUGAACGCUGGCGGCGUGCUUAACACAUGCAAGUCGAACGGAGUUCCUUGGAUAGAGGCUUCGGCCAAUUGAAUUGGAACUUAGUGGCGGACUGGUGAGUAACGCGUGAGGAACCUGCCUUUCAGAGGGGGACAACAGCUGGAAACGGCUGCUAAUACCGCAUGACACAUUUGGGUGGCAUCACUUGAAUGUCAAAGAUUUUAUCGCUGAAAGAUGGCCUCGCGUCUGAUUAGCUAGUUGGUGAGGUAACGGCCCACCAAGGCGACGAUCAGUAGCCGGACUGAGAGGUUGAUCGGCCACAUUGGGACUGAGAUACGGCCCAGACUCCUACGGGAGGCAGCAGUGGGGAAUAUUGGGCAAUGGACGCAAGUCUGACCCAGCAACGCCGCGUGAAGGAAGGAGGCCUUCGGGUUGUAAACUUCUUUUACCAGGGACGAACAAAUGACGGUACCUGGAGAAAAAGCAACGGCUAACUACGUGCCAGCCGCCGCAGUAACAC